UGGUCUGCUUGCUUUCAAAGAAGCAACACGUCGGAGGGUUGUUCUUUCGCUUGCAUUCCUAUGUGUCUGGAAUUCUCUACUUGGUCCCAACUCAGAUUGGAGGGGAGACAGAUGAGGAGAAAAUUUAUCUCCCCACAAAGAAGUAAGAGGCAAAGAUGCAUUUUCCCAGGGUUUGCCAGAAUUGCUACACUUGCUGUUUUGUGAAAACAUCUUUACAUCUUUUCAACCCACCAGACUGAGAAAUCUGGAACUGUACCAAGGAAGAAAGCUAAGCUGAGAAGGUUUAUCUCAGUGGGGAAGAAGGAGAAAAAAAAAAGUAAAAAAAAAAGUGUUGGAUUUGUUUAGUUUAUAUCCUUGGUAAUGCACAGAGAGUUGAAAGGCUGAGACUGUGAUCCUGAUUGUGUUUCAGAAAGAAGUUGUGCUACCCUAAGUCCCACAGAGUUUCUUAAUUUUAACUGAUGUAGCAGAGCAAAGAUUUAUGCAAGAAUUUGUUCUGACAAAAGAGGAA
rnacentral:lncRNA from 1 species